UACGAGGGGGGCGAGCGUUGUUCGGAAUUAUUGGGCGUAAAGGGUGCGUAGGCGGUUUGGUAAGUCUGAUGUGAAAUCUAUGGGCUCAACCCUGGAAUGCCGGUGGAAACUGUCGAGCUAGAGUCCGGAAGAGGCGAGUGGAAUUCCUGGUGUAGCGGUGAAAUGCGCAGAUAUCAGGAGGAACACCAAUGGCGAAGGCAGCUCGCUGGGACGGUACUGACACUGAGACGCGAAAGCGUGGGGAGCAAACAGG
rnacentral:rRNA from 1 species